rnacentral:rRNA from 1 species
GUGGGGAAUCUUGCGCAAUGGGCGAAAGCCUGACGCAGCCAUGCCGCGUGAAUGAUGAAGGUCUUAGGAUUGUAAAAUUCUUUCACCGGGGACGAUAAUGACGGUACCCGGAGAAGAAGCUCCGGCUAACUUCGUGCCAGCAGCCGCGGUAAUACGAAGGGGGCUAGCGUUGCUCGGAAUUACUGGGCGUAAAGGGCGCGUAGGCGGACAGCUUAGUCAGAGGUGAAAGCCCAGGGCUCAACCUUGGAAUUGCCUUUGAUACUGGCUGUCUUGAGUUUGGGAGAGGUGAGUGGAACUCCGAGUGUAGAGGUGAAAUUCGUAGAUAUUCGGAAGAACAUCAGUGGCGAAGGCGACUCACUGGCCCAAUACUGACGCUGAGGCGCGAAAGCGUGGGGAGCAAACAGGAUUAGAUACCCCGGUAGUCC